GUGCAAGUGUGAUGUUCAGUGCAAAGCACGGCAGUAGCGAAAACGCCACAAAGAUCCAAGACUAUUUUUCAACUGAUACCUAGAAUCCUUUAAUUAGAUUCAGAGGCAGAGCGUUAAGAUUUGGCCAAAUCGGAACUGCAACUCAGAAAUAACUUAGGACAGUUAAUAGGUGAUUUUUUUAAAUGUAUAGUUAUAGCUAUCGCACAUCAUUUUUACAAAGUCGUGCAUUAACUAAUGGAGCAGAAGCACCACCUAUUAAGAUUCAAAUUCAGAAACAUAAUCUAAUACUACAAACUUUCCUUCGCAAUAUGCUUCAUUAUUUUACAUUCAAUGUUCGUUAUCAUAUGAAGCCAUGAAUCUAUAUAACUUGAAAGCAACUUAUCCAAUCACGAACACACUCACAAAACAAAUCCAACUAGUUUUUAUUCUUUUUUUAUUUCCCGACAGUCAGCUGAAAAAAAUAAAAGAAUCUCUAGUUCAGUUUUCCACAUAAUUAAAACAAGAAGAAACUCUCAAGCCGCCUUAACUUACACAGCGGGCCCCAUGCCUGGCGCUGGGAGGAAUGGCGAGGCUGUCCUGUCCCUAGGGCAGAGGGCUUGCGGGGCUGAGCACCUGAGCACAAGUACUUCGUGGUCAAGAGUGUUCCACAUUGCUGACAUUCAGCUCAGCCUCAGAAGCACCCUUGACAACUACCGAUGGCCACAGCCAAAUGGUUACCUGUAAAGUGGCCACUGCACCGUUUUCAGACAUGAAAUGGCCAAUGCUUUAGUUAAGAAUGUGCACCAGCCUGCAGUUCUUCACUGAGGUAUUUUGUCACAGUGACAGAAAGCUGAGCAUCACAAACACAAGGAAGAAGGUCAUGGUAAAUGCAAGCAGAGACUGGAGUGAAGCAGCUAUAAGCCAUGAAUGCUGGGGAGCGUUGGAGCCACCAGAAGCUAUGAAGAGCCAAGGAAGGCUUACUUCUUCCUAGAGUUUUUACCUGGAGUAUAGCCCUACUGCUACCUUGAUUUCAGACUUUUAGCCACCAAAUAAGUGAUGGAAUAAAUUUCUGCUGUUUUAAACCAUUUAGUUUGUGGGAAUUUGUCAUAGCAGCUCCAGGAAAUGAAUAUAUGCAAAACCACC
rnacentral:lncRNA from 1 species